GGGGGCCCGCAAGCGGUGGAGCAUGUGGUUUAAUUCGAUGCAACGCGAAGAACCUUACCUACUCUUGACAUCCAGAAAAUUCGCUAGAGAUAGCUUAGUGCCUUCGGGAACUCUGAAACAGGUGCUGCAUGGCUGUCCUCCGCUCGUGUUGUGAAAUGUUGGGUUAAGUCCCCCCACCAGCCCCACCCUUAUCCUUGUUUGCCCACCCCUUAUGGUGGGAACCUCAGGGGAGACUGCCGGUGAUAAACCGGAGGAAGGUGGGGACGACGUCAAGUCAUCAUGGCCCUUACGAGUAGGGCUACACACGUGCUACAAUGGCGUAUACAGAGGGCUGCAAGCUAGCGAUAGUGAGCGAAUCCCACAAAGUACGUCGUACUCCGGAUUGGAGUCUGCAACUCGACUCCAUGAAGUCGGAAUCGCUAGUAAUCGUGAAUCAGAAUGUCACGGUGAAUACGUUCCCGGGCCUUGUACACACC
rnacentral:rRNA from 1 species